CGCGGCCCGCGUCCGUCCCGCCGCCCCCGCCCGCCUUCGGGAGGCAUCAGUAAUGAAUAUUACUCAAUGGGCGAAAGCCUGACGGAGCAACCCCGCGUGAGUGAAGAAGGUCUUCGGAUCGUAAAUCUCUGUCAACAAGGACGAAACACGUCGAUAC
rnacentral:rRNA from 1 species